rnacentral:sRNA from 1 species
UCUCCCAUGCAAAUACUAACCAGGCCCGACCAUGCUUAGCUUCUGAGAUCAGAGAAGAUUGGGCACAUUCAGGGUGGUAU